GCCAUGACACCCUCUUCCCGCAACAAAUUGGUCAUCCCACCGGGCAGAUCGAUGGAUGA
rnacentral:ribozyme from 1 species